GGGGUUGACUGGAUUUGACGGCAAGACGAAAUGGUGUGUAAGCACGCGGAGACUCGGUGGCUAUCUCCUUAAUCAGAGUGACCAAAAAAUUAAUUGGCGAAAACAAUUACGCUCUCGCUGCCUAACUGAAGUAUAGUAGGUUACUGGCCUAAUCGCGCUAUAAGAUAGUGCGACGAGACACCGCUCCGAGGAUGUUGUCCCGAAUCCGGAGAUUAAGCGGUGCAGGUAAAUCGGGAAUAGCUGGCGGCAGCCCCGUGUCGUAGGUGAAUUUUUAGGGGAUAAGGCGAUGAUUGGUGGCCCAGGUCUUGUCGUCGCUCGAAAACCAAAGGCUGGGAUAAGCGUGUAGAAAGCACAUGGUUUCCUUGUGCGGACGUGGGUUCGAAUCCCACCAGCUCCACC
rnacentral:tmRNA from 1 species